AGAGUUUGAUUAUGGCUCAGAUUGAACGCUGGCGGCAUGCCUAACACAUGCAAGUCGAACGGAAACGAUGGAAGCUUGCUUCUAGGCGUCGAGUGGCGGACGGGUGAGUAAUACUUAGGAAUCUGCCCAGUAGUGGGGGACAACUCGGGGAAACUCGAGCUAAUACCGCAUAUGCACUACGGUGGAAAGUGGGGGAUCUUCGGACCUCACGCUAUUGGAUGAGCCUAAGUCGGAUUAGCUAGUUGGUGGGGUAAAAGCCUACCAAGGCGACGAUCCGUAGCUGGUCUGAGAGGACGAUCAGCCACACUGGGACUGAGACACGGCCCAGACUCCUACGGGAGGCAGCAGUGGGGAAUAUUGGACAAUGGGCGAAAGCCUGAUCCAGCAAUGCCGCGUGUGUGAAGAAGGCCUGCGGGUUGUAAAGCACUUUCAGUAGAGAAGAAAAGCUUAGGGUUAAUAACCCUGGGUCUUGACGUAACCUACAGAAGAAGCACCGGCUAACUCCGUGCCAGCAGCCGCGGUAAUACGGAGGGUGCGAGCGUUAAUCGGAAUUACUGGGCGUAAAGCGCGCGUAGGUGGUUCUGUAAGUCGGAUGUGAAAGCCCAGGGCUCAACCUUGGAAUUGCAUCCGAUACUGCAUAACUAGAGUAUGGUAGAGGGAAGUGGAAUUUCCGGUGUAGCGGUGAAAUGCGUAGAUAUCGGAAGGAACACCAGUGGCGAAGGCGACUUCCUGGGCCAAUACUGACACUGAGGUGCGAAAGCGUGGGGAACAAACAGGAUUAGAUACCCUGGUAGUCCACGCUGUAAACGAUGAGAACUAGAUGUCGGGAGGGUUGCCUUUCGGUGUCGCAGCUAACGCGUUAAGUUCUCCGCCUGGGGAGUACGCCGGCAACGGUAAAACUCAAAUGAAUUGACGG
rnacentral:rRNA from 1 species